rnacentral:rRNA from 1 species
UACGAAGGGGGCUAGCGUUGCUCGGAAUCACUGGGCGUAAAGGGUGCGUAGGCGGGUCUUUAAGUCAGGGGUGAAAUCCUGCAGCUCAACUGUAGAAGUGCCUUUGAUACUGGCGAACUCGAGGGAGGUAGGGGUGGGUGGAACUUCUGGUGGAGCGGUGAAAUGCGUUGAUAUCAGAAGGAACGCCGGUGGCGAAAGCGACCCACUGGACCUCUUCUAACGCUGAGGCGCGAAAGCCAGGGGAGCAAACGGG